GAGUUUGAUCCUGGCUCAGAUUGAACGCUGGCGGCAUGCCUUACACAUGCAAGUCGAACGGUAACAGGUCUUUCGGGAUGCUGACGAGUGGCGAACGGGUGAGUGAUACAUCGGAACGUGCCUAGUAGUGGGGGAUAACUACUCGAAAGAGUGGCUAAUACCGCAUGAGAUCUAUGGAUGAAAGCAGGGGACCUUCGGGCCUUGUGCUACUAGAGCGGCCGAUGGCAGAUUAGGUAGUUGGUGGGAUAAAAGCUUACCAAGCCUACGAUCUGUAGCUGGUCUGAGAGGACGAUCAGCCACACUGGGACUGAGACACGGCCCAGACUCCUACGGGAGGCAGCAGUGGGGAAUUUUGGACAAUGGGCGCAAGCCUGAUCCAGCAAUGCCGCGUGCAGGAUGAAGGCCUUCGGUU
rnacentral:rRNA from 1 species